GAGCAUUGAAGAUGGAAUAACUAGUCUUGUGCCUCUCAACAUCGUCGGGUGUGCUAAAGGACUCAUUCAAUAUUUGCAACAUGUCUUGUGACUGAACAUUCUCGAAACGAUGGCUAAAUUCAUCAUUCAUCACCGCCAGCAUAAUACAACGAAUCAUAGUCCGAUCAUUGAGCCACUUCUGAUAAGUGUCUUUGAUCGAGCUACGUACAUUUGGAGCUAGCUCCUCGGGUGCC
rnacentral:lncRNA from 1 species